AUUCAUUGUGCAAAGAUCUGGAAGUUACAGAAGUGUACAGAGAGGCACAGUACGCUCAGAAUUUAUUCUCUAGUUAAUAGGAGAUCUGACAACAUAAAUGCACCGUGCCCCAAUGUAAUGAAUACGAUGAAGUAGUAUGGGGGAAUAGGCUUUCAAUAAAGGUGUAUUUAGUGCCUCCUAUUGUAAGGGGAAAGUAAUUUAGCUGGGCAGUAGUCUUGGAAGGCUUCUCUGAAGGAUUUAUUUUUUAAUCUGCGAACUAAAGGAUGAGUCCAAAUUAACCUAGAAACGAUGGAAAUCGUAUCCUAAAAUGUGGGAUGCACCCCAUUUGGGAAAAAUGAAUGGCUCUAAGGGUGCAUGAAGGACAUUAAGCGAUAUUAAACAGCAGAGUGAGAACGUCCCAUUUCAAACCAACAGGCUAGUUGUUUGAGGCCAGUAUGGUAUUUAACAUUUUUCUAGUAUUUAUCUCCCUUUCUAACAGAGUAAAGCCUUCAUUUUCCAGAUCUCUCAAACAGGCAACCAUGCCUGCAGUUUUAAAAUAUUGUUUUGUUUUGAGGUGUGUGUUAGCAAUAACCUUUUCAUUUCUUCCGAGCAAUGCUGAUUUCCCAUUUAAGCAGUGAUGUAAAUAUUCCUUUCAAAAUACAUGUCAAAUUUGAGAGUUCACUUAAAGAAGAAAAUGAAAACAUUUUUUACUU
rnacentral:lncRNA from 10 species